rnacentral:siRNA from 1 species
UGGGAAUUGCGAUUGCCAA